AGGUGUAACAAAAAAGAUUUAUUUUCUGAAGGCACAGGCAAAUUAUGCUGUCCAGCCAGUAGAGGAAUCAGAUCAGAAAACGCUUCUAUCUGUGGUCAGAGGGCAUGAACAACAUAUUUGGUUUUAAUGUGAAGGACAACGGAACCGGGCUCAGCAGCCUCCCAGUGAUCAUGGCUGGACCUGGACUAAACACAGCCUCCAAGACCAAGACAACAGAUAAAACAGUAAUGAUUUACAGGGGCUCCAACCAGGACUCUGACUCCUGGACGACGAAGACACAGCGGGUUCAGGCAGGCGUCAAGUGGGAGGGCAGCAAGAGACAGGUGGGGCAUCAGAGAGGCAGCGACAGCAUGUAGAGACAGAAUAUUUUCACAUACACUUGAUGAAUUAAGGGAUUAAACCAGAGUUGGUGAUUGUUGGAACAGUGGAAAAACUAACAAAGAUGGUGUUGACUCUUAACAUCUUUCUCCUCGGUCUCCGCUGUGUUGUUGCUGUCUGUGUGAACGGCUGGUAUACCUGCACAUAUACACACACAGACCUAACCAGCUGGCUUACAAUCCCAUUGACCCCUGCUCUUUAGCCUACUGGGAUAAAAAGGUCAGUCUAAUUGAAACAUUAGCGGCCUCAGGAGAGCUGAACUGGGCUGAACUGUGACAUUCACUGAGUCCAGAGACCAGGUCGUCCCCUUUUGCUCUCUGUCUUCUCCCUCCGUAGGACACUGUGCCGCUAAUGGUCUCGUCACUGUAAUGCAACCACUGUGUCUCACAUCCACAGCUCCCUUUUCUUGCUCUCUGCUGUCACUUCUGUGCUAACAAAUGUUUGGAGGAACUUUCUUGAAGGACACCAAGUUGCUGCUGCUCAUCCUCAGUGCUUAAUUACACCUCAGGGUCAUCUUUGACUCGGCUGACAGACAGAAACCGAUGAGCGUGGCUUCUCAAACUUUUGUAAAACCUCUGACCAGGACUAAAUUCAAUAAAAUUCUGGUUUGCAGUCCAUUAA